rnacentral:rRNA from 1 species
GAUGAACGCUAGCGAUAGGCUUAACACAUGCAAGUCGAGGGGUAACAUGGGAGUAGCUUGCUACUUCUGAUGACGACCGGCGGAUGGGUGAGUAACGCGUAUGCAACUUGCCUCUUAGUGGGGAAUAACCCGGAGAAAUCCGGACUAAUACCGCAUACACUUAGUUAUCCGCAUGGAUGAUUAAGGAAAGAUUUAUUGCUAAGAGAUAGGCAUGCGUUCCAUUAGUUAGUUGGUGAGGUAACGGCUCACCAAGGCAUCGAUGGAUAGGGGAGCUGAGAGGCUUGUCCCCCACAUUGGGACUGAGACACGGCCCAA